AGAUCCAAUCCAUGCGCCAAUUCAAGGACUCUACAUUCUCCCAGUGUCUUCUACAGAAACAACUUCUCCUGUCUCUGGUCUGCAAGAGGAAAACACAGAAACUGUAUCUCCUACCACUGCUCAGAAAGAGGAAAACACAGAGACAACACUAAGCCUGGACGAUGUCAGCAUGUCCCCUGCCAAAGUGAAGUGCCCUGCUUGCCUUGAGAUUGUCACCACUGAGACCCACUAUAAACUGGGCAGCAAUGCCUUCAUCUUUUGUUGUCUCUUAUCUGUGGUAGGGUGUCUGGCUGGAUGUUGCCUGGUCCCCUUCUGUAUGAAUCGCUUCAAAGAUGUGGUCCACAGGUGUCCAUCCUGCCACAAAGAUAUCUGUUUAGUAAAUAGGAUUUGAAGCAAAAAGUAAUACGAUUACAUCAUGA